rnacentral:misc_RNA from 1 species
GAUGAAGAACGCAGCGAAAUGCGAUACGUAAUGUGAAUUGCAAAUUCAGUGAAUCAUCGAGUCUUUGAACGCACAUUGCGCCCCCAGGUAUUCCGGGGGGCAUGCCUGUCCGAGCGUCAUUGCUGCCCUCAAGCACGGCUUGUGUGUUGGGCCCCGUCCUCCGAUUCCGGGGGACGGGCCCGAAAGGCAGCGGCGGCACCGCGUCCGGUCCUCGAGCGUAUGGGGCUUUGUCACCCGCUCUGUAGGCCCGGCCGGCGCUUGCCGAUCAACCCAAAUUUUUAUCCAGGUUGACCUCGGAUCAGGUAGGGAUACCCGCUGAACUUAAGCAUAUCAAUAAGCGGAGGA